rnacentral:rRNA from 1 species
GACGAAGGGGGCUAGCGUUGUUCGGAAUUACUGGGCGUAAAGCGCGUGUAGGCGGUUGUUCAAGUCAGGUGUGAAAGCCUUGAGCUCAACUCAAGAAAUGCACUUGAUACUGGAUGACUAGAGGGCCGGAGAGGAUAGUGGAAUUCCCAGUGUAGUGGUGAAAUACGUAGAGAUUGGGAAGAACACCAGUGGCGAAGGCGGCUAUCUGGACGGUUUCUGACGCUAAGACGCGAAAGCGUGGGGAGCAAACAGG